ensembl:snoRNA SNORD33 Small nucleolar RNA Z195/SNORD33/SNORD32 family
UCUGUCGAUGAUGACUUCAUUAACUGCCUUGGUUGAGUUUAACGACAAUGAGAAAACUCACAUGCACUACCAUCUGAGACAGG